UCAUUGUUAAAAUAUUAGACACAUCUUCAUUUAAAGUGAAUGAAACUUACAUAAUUCAUUGUUCAAUUACAAAAGCUGGCACAUACAACAAAGACAUACAAUUACAUUUUUUUUCAAAAGAAGUCUCCUAUUUUUGUAACAUUAUCCUUCCAUGACAAACACCAAGCUUCAAAAGUUGAAUACCAACCCCAACAACAUAUAAUCACUUGACAAAAUAGCAUCUGAGUACUUUGUAUUUCUGACUGGAUCUUUGUGAUUACUCCAACUGCUGAAUAGUCUGCGAGAAAAGAAAAUUUCAAUACAGUCUCGGAGAAGAAGGAAUUAAAAACACCUUGGAGAAGAUGAACUUACCGUUUGGGUCAGCGUUUUGAGCAAUCUGAAGAGCAUCUGAGUUGGCUACUUACAAAAACACUAAUGUUGAACCUAAUCAUGCAUUUGUUAUACAAAAACAACCUACUUUAAGCCCACAACAUUCACAUAUAUGUACAUUUGUGGACAUUCUACUAGGUAACAAAAAAUCUCAUUAUGGUUAGACCUUACAAAAUAGAUACACAAAAACCAUUCAGUGAUUUAAAGCUUAUCAUUAAUAAUCAUCCAUAUCAUACUGUG
rnacentral:lncRNA from 1 species